GAGGUGCUGUUCCAUCACCUUCCCAGGGAUGGAGGGGAGGCUGUCUGCCCUGUAGUUGCCUGGAUCCUCCUUCUUACCCUUUUUGAAGACUGGUGUGACAUUGUCUUUCCUCCAAUCCU